ensembl:lncRNA
CACAGAGUCGGACACGACUGAAGCGACUUAGCAGCAGCAACAGCAGACUUUAUUGCAACAAUACUGUUUCAGUUCAGUUCAGUUCAGUAGUCGAGUCGUGUCUGACUCUCUGCAACCUCAUGGACUGCAGCAUGCCAGGCUUCCCUGUCCCGUCACCAAUUCCCAAAGCUUGUUCAAACUCAGGUCCAUCGAGUCGGUGAGGCCACCCAACCAUCUCAUCCUCUGUCGACCCCUCCUCCUGCUCUCAAUCUUCCCCAGCACCAGGGUCUUUUCCAGGGAGUCAGCUCUUGGCAUCAGCUUCAGCUUCAGCAUCAGUCCUGCCCCUGUUUAGCCAAUGACAGAAUCACUUGGAAAGUCCAAAUGUGAAGGACUCAUUGGUACAUUAAAGUUGAUAUUUUUGGAGAAAAGGAAUCAAAUCUGAGGUCUUUCUCCCGCAACAUGGCGCUCGUCUUAAUUAUCAGUGGAGUUCAGAUAAUACUUGUUGGCACAUUUCGCUGCUCAGUAAUUAGAAUUGUUCUCCCACCCCUGGGAACCAGAGUUUAUCCCUAAAAUGAAGCAUUCAAUGGUGACUCCAGACAUAUAUCUUUUAAUAUAGUAAUACGAUUAGAGAGGAAUGUAUGUUUUCAGUUUUCAUUUCAUCAACUGCUUGGAGAAAAUUCUGAAUAUUUGAUUUGCUCCAACUCCAAGCUGAUUAGUAUGAAGCAAAGUAUAGACAUUUCUCUCUCAAGUUUAUGGAAAAGGGCAAUAAAACAGAUUUUCCCACUCAAUUUGGGACUUCCAGAGAAGGUUGAAAUAGAAAGCCUUUUAUUUAAAAUUAAUCCUCACACAUGAGCAUAUAUUUAAAACUGUUCACAGGGUUUUGUGGAGGCUCAUGGCAGAAAAUAGAAAGAAUGAUGUAAACUCGUGAAGAUGACAGACUGUCUCAAAGGGGAAAGAGAAACGCAUGCUUCGCGACGGGACUGCUGUGGCUUAUGCAGUGUGUCGUCAGCUGCCCCAGAGGCGGCUCUGACGCUUGGUCAGCUGGGGAACGUGCUUCUGCUUGCACGAUUCCUGCAGACUAUUUGCAUCUGCAGCACAGCUCUGUGCUUUCUGUCUUCCAGGCNNNNNNNNNNNNNNNNNNNNNNNNNNNNNNNNNNNNNNNNNNCGCAGGACACACCAGCACGGUAACUGCGGUGGCCUUCAGCCCGGUUGCCACUCAGCUCGUCACAGCCACCUUGGACGGCAAGCUUCAGCUGUUUCAGGCCCAGUGAUGCUGACCCACGGGCUGGGCACCGCCUGGGCCAGAGCAUGGCCUGAGUCUGGGUCCUCGACCUGAGAGACGCCGGCAGUGUCUACACCACCUGCCCAUCUGAGCCACCCUCACAGCUGCGGCCCACCUACUCCUUGCUGGGGAUUCCCUGCCCUGGAAAAAUGGAAAUGGUGUCCAACACCUCUGCACAGAAUCUGGUCAAGUUAGAAUAGAAUGUUCUUCAAUAAAAAAUAAUCUAGUAUUUCGUUCAUAAUUUAGUCUUUGCAGAGAGAGGAGGGUGAGAGAGACAGGGAGACUUCACUGGGCUGUUGGGAACGCAGCCGUGCUGGUCCUAAGCCCUGGCCUUCUGGUGGUUGCUCCCCAGCUUUGCUGGGGGAGCCAGCCUCUGCUGGGGCCUCCACCCUCACACACUCCUUGGCUUCUGGGCUCCCUCCACCACCAGAGGACUGUCCAGCGGGGACAGCAUCCAGUCACCCUCACACGAUUCCUCAGAGAUGUACCUGCCUCCAGAGACCCCAGAACCAAGCCUUUCUUGAGCCCCAGAAGAAUCAGGAUGCUUCUAGAACUCUUCCAGAUACAAGCGCCAACAACACUGGAGACCGUCCGUGGGGAAAUGCCCCAGGAAG